rnacentral:lncRNA from 1 species
AACAGACUCUGAACUGGCUCCCUAUGAAAUGAGUCAUAAAAACUACUGCACUCAUCGAGUUAGACAUGGCCUAGACAAAAGAAGAGUUAUGAAUACAAUAGAAAACAAUGGCCCUUGCCACAUCAGCAAUCUGCAGGAAUAUACUGUACCAUUGGGAAUUCUGGAUUUCACUGCCAGCACGAUGCUGAGAGGCUGACCAUCACACCCAGCUUCAUGUGGUGUGACUCUGACCUCUGGAGGGAAGACGAUCGAAGGACUCAUCAGGCUGUCGUGGAGGCACUAAUGUUACAGAACCAGCUCGCAGCAGAAGCUCUGGACACCAAACCUUGGGUGAAGUCCUUUAGCUGGCACUGUCCCUCACUGGUGCUGAGAAUUAACUACUGUUUAUAAAGCUCUGAGUGGAGAGGGGAUGGAGUUCGUGCCUCGUCCCUCCUGA